rnacentral:lncRNA from 1 species
CACUUAUGAACAACAAUGCCAAGCAACCAGAGCUUCCAGUGACUAAGGCACUACCCAAAGACUAUAACACGGACUGAACCUGGGCUCCACCUGCAUAGGUAGCAAUGAAUAGCCUAGUAAGAGCACCAGUGGAAGGGGAAGCCCUUGGUCCUACUAAGACCAAACCCCCAAUGAACGUGAUUGUUGGGGGGAGGGCGGUGAUGGGGGGAGGAUGGGGAGGGGAACACCCAUAUCGAAGGGGAUGGGGAGGGGUUAGGGGGAUGUUGGCCCAGAAACUGGGAAAGGGAAUAACAAUUGAAAUGUAAAUAAGAAAUACUCAAGUUAAUAAAGAAAGAAAAAAGACUUGAGGAGUUCUAAAAAGAGGUCUUCUUAGCCACACUUGGAUUCUGCUCCUUGUUGCUGAAUUGCCCUUUUGUUACUCCUCUCU